rnacentral:lncRNA from 1 species
CAUGCUCCUGGGCGCGGGCGAGUAGCGCUCCUCAUUGAAGUGCUGCGUGGGCGACCAUGAGUACUGCGGGUCUGUGGGGAAACAGAAACGGCAUUGAACACCCGGAAGCGCGGCGGAAACCCUCAGUCCACACCCUUACAGGCCAGUGAGGAUGGGAGGAGCUUUCUCGAGGUCCCAUCUGUGUGGGGGCAGCUGUGCCUCCUUCCCCAGAGGAAUCCCGCUUGACUCCUCCCUGUGUCCUUCUGCGGCCUGUGAUGGGCUUUCCCUGAAUGCCUGGAGGAGCGAGGCUGUGGCUACAACAAAGCACCACCUGUCUUAUGGCC